UACGAAGGGUGCAAACGUUGCUCGGAAUUAUUGGGCGUAAAGCGCACGUAGGCGGCAUUGCAAGUCGGAUGUGAAAUCCCUCGGCUUAACCAAGGAAGUGCAUCCGAAACUGCAGUGCUUGAGUACUUAAGAGGAUCGCGGAAUUCCCGGUGUAGAGGUGAAAUUCGUAGAUAUCGGGAGGAACACCAGUGGCGAAGGCGACUUCCUGGCCUGUUCUUGACGCUGAGGCGCGAAAGCUAGGGGAGCAAACGGG
rnacentral:rRNA from 1 species